CAGACAGAAGCCCGCUGGAUUGGGUGUUUAGCUGUUAAUUAAUUUUUUGCGGGAUCGAGGCCCGCCUGUCUAG
rnacentral:tRNA from 1 species